UAAUCUCACUACCACUGGGAACAAAGGAGAGCGUCGCUCAAUGUACAAAGUCCUUGGUGAAGCACUCGCCGCGAAAUACCCAAUGAUGUUGUGGGAUGAGCCUGAAGAGCACCUUUUGGCUACGAGGACCCAUGUUUAUAGCCUAUUCAUCAAGAGGUUGACUGUGGCUCGAAAGGUGCGGAAUCACAGAAAAUCGAAAAGAGCGCAUGUCACUGUUCUUUCACCCACCACUGAGAUCACAAAGGAGAAUGCUGUUGCCGAGCUACAGGCCUUAAAAGCGACCCAUUUGAGCGCCGUGACGCUUGACACAGAAAGGAUGCAGGCCCUCCUUAAAGUGACGUACGAAGAAUGCUGCUAAAGCCAUGAUGAUCCACUGCCCUAGUAUUUCUUGCUAGAAGAAAUUAUGGCUCUACCGGAUGACGUGCAAAUCGCUGCACCCCAUGUGUAUACCUGUCCUGAACACACUUGCGUUUACGCUGGAAGCGCUGAGCAAAUAAUCCGGAUGGCUAAUAGAAAUAUAGAGCGGGCCCUCAUUUUUUGCCUGCUGACAUAUUACAUCAAAAAUCUUGAGUACCCGCCUGCUUUCUCACCAGUCCUUGUCCUGCUGCAAAACAUUGCCUUGCCGGACACACCCGUGCCUCGUGGACUGCUCAGAAACCGCCUGAAGAAUCUUCUUUUGCUCUUGAGAAAGAAGAAUGUGUGCUAACCUUGUACUCCACUGAUAUUUUUGUUCGUCUUGGUUUUGUGCACCGUUUUGCUGGUUGGAUAUUAUAUUGUAUACAGGUCACAUUGCAGCAUAUAUGAGAGUUGCCUUUUGAGUCCUUGAGAAAGCACGAAGGACAUUUUAAUAAAUGACGUUUUGAAAGUAACCUAUGUCUUUUCG